rnacentral:lncRNA from 1 species
AUGUGUAGUAUAAGUAAAAAGAUGACUUAAUAAUUUAGAGUAAAUUACUUAUAGUCAAUUAAUUGUAUUGUGAAUAUCUUUUCUUACUUUAUUCUAGAGUAAAUUCGUACUCCCUCCAGACAGUCAUAAAUGCACACUAAAGUCCCUCAAUCGAAAAUGGAAAGAAUUCAAGACAACACUGAAGAUGGACUACAAGAGAGAGGGAUUGGCAGUAGACGAUGUCACUCAUAUUUGUCCUC